CGCUGGCGGCAGGCCUAACACAUGCAAGUCGAGCGGUAGCACAGAGAGCUUGCUCUCGGGUGACGAGCGGCGGACGGGUGAGUAAUGUCUGGGAAACUGCCUGAUGGAGGGGGAUAACUACUGGAAACGGUAGCUAAUACCGCAUAACGUCGCAAGACCAAAGUGGGGGACCUUCGGGCCUCAUGCCAUCAGAUGUGCCCAGAUGGGAUUAGCUAGUAGGUGGGGUAACGGCUCACCUAGGCGACGAUCCCUAGCUGGUCUGAGAGGAUGACCAGCCACACUGGAACUGAGACACGGUCCAGACUCCUACGGGAGGCAGCAGUGGGGAAUAUUGCACAAUGGGCGCAAGCCUGAUGCAGCCAUGCCGCGUGUGUGAAGAAGGCCUUCGGGUUGUAAAGCACUUUCAGCGGGGAGGAAGGCGAUGAGGUUAAUAACCUUGUCGAUUGACGUUACCCGCAGAAGAAGCACCGGCUAACUCCGUGCCAGCAGCCGCGGUAAUACGGAGGGUGCAAGCGUUAAUCGGAAUUACUGGGCGUAAAGCGCACGCAGGCGGUCUGUCAAGUCGGAUGUGAAAUCCCCGGGCUCAACCUGGGAACUGCAUUCGAAACUGGCAGGCUAGAGUCUUGUAGAGGGGGGUAGAAUUCCAGGUGUAGCGGUGAAAUGCGUAGAGAUCUGGAGGAAUACCGGUGGCGAAGGCGGCCCCCUGGACAAAGACUGACGCUCAGGUGCGAAAGCGUGGGGAGCAAACAGGAUUAGAUACCCUGGUAGUCCACGCCGUAAACGAUGUCGAUUUGGAGGUUGUGCCCUUGAGGCGUGGCUUCCGGAGCUAACGCGUUAAAUCGACCGCCUGGGGAGUACGGCCGCAAGGUUA
rnacentral:rRNA from 1 species